rnacentral:rRNA from 1 species
GAUGAACGCUGGCGGCGUGCCUAAUACAUGCAAGUCGAGCGAAGCGGGGACGGGUGAGUAAAACGUGGAGAACAUCCUAUAAGACUGGGGUAACUUCGGGAAACCGGAGCUAAAACGGCUACUUAGAGAUGGAUCCGUGCUGCAUUAGCUAGUUGGUAAGGUAACGGCUGACCAAGGCAACGAUGCAUAGCCGACGAUGGAGGGUGAUCGGCCACACUGGAACUGAGACACGGUCCAGACUCCUACGGUAGGCAGCAGUAGGGAAUCUUCCGCAAUGGGCGAAAGCCUGACGGAGCAACGCCGCGUGAGUGAUGAAGGUCUUCGGAUCGUAAAACUCUGUUAUUAGGGAAGCGGUACCUAAUCAGAAAGCCACGGCUAACUACGUGCCAGCAGCCGCGGUAAUAC